ACUCCUACGGGAGGCAGCAGUCGAGAAUAUUUAGCAAUGGACGAAAGUCUGACUAUGCGACGCCGCGUGAGGGAUGAAGUAUUUCGGUAUGUAAACCUCUUUCGAUGGGGAAGAAACUACCUAUAGUAAUAUAGGAACUGACGGUACCCAGAGAAGAAGCCAUGGCCAACUCCGUGCCAGCAGCCGCGGUAAUACGGGGAUGGCGAGCGUUACUCGGAUUUACUGGGUGUAAAGGGCAGGUAGGUGGCUUUGUAAGUUGAAGGUGAAAUGCUCUGACUCAAUCAGAGAACUGCCUUCAAAACUGCAUUGCUUGAGGAUUGGAGAGGAGAGCGGAAUUCCAGGUGUAAGGGUGAAAUCUGUAGAUAUCUGGAGGAACACCAGUGGCGAAAGCGGCUCUCUGGCCAAUAUCUGACACUAAGCUGCGAAAGCUAGGGGAGCAAACAGGAUUAGAUACCCUGGUAGUCCUAGCCGUAAACGAUGAGUACUAGGUGUUGGGGGUUAAACCCUCAGCGCCGUAAGGUAACCUGUUAAGUACUCCACCUGAAGACUACGACCGCAAGGUUAAAACUCAAAGGAAUUGACGGGG
rnacentral:rRNA from 1 species